rnacentral:lncRNA from 1 species
CUUGGUGGCAUCAUGACGACAACAUCAAACACGAGUAUCCAUAGUAUCUGCAAAAUUUUGAGAACAGAGAAUUCAUUGGUGUGGACUGAAUCCAAAUAAGAUCAUAGAUUUUAAGAAGAGCAGCUAGGAAGAUAGUGGGUUACAAGGCAAAGCAUCCUGGACCAGGAAUCAAGAGGCCUCAGUCCAGCUCUGAUCCUCAGGCCUGUUAACUUGACAAGAUUGCCGGUGGUGACGGGAAUAGUGACCGGCUCUACACACACGCACGCCAGGCAUCUUAGCUCGUCUAAUCACCAGUGCCACCCUCCACUCUCCUGGCAACCAUUUGCCAAAAAUAAAUAAGCCCAUAGCACUAUGAAGAUUGAGCUUUACUAAUUUACUAGCUAGGAAAAAGUAGGUUAUAGUUUCUGGUGAAUAUUUAUAAAAAUCUCUAUUCACUAUAACUGAUACUUAAGGAUUUUAUUCAAAAUUGUGUAGCAGUACAGAAGUAAAUGA